AUUGAACGCUGGCGGCAUGCUUUACACAUGCAAGUCGAACGGUAACAGGCCGCAAGGUGCUGACGAGUGGCGGACGGGUGAGUAAUGCAUCGGAACGUGCCCAGUCGUGGGGGAUAACUACUCGAAAGAGUAGCUAAUACCGCAUACGAGCUAUGGAUGAAAGCGGGGGACCGUAAGGCCUCGCGCGAGUGGAGCGGCCGAUGUCAGAUUAGGUAGUUGGUGGGGUAAAGGCUCACCAAGCCAACGAUCUGUAGCUGGUCUGAGAGGACGACCAGCCACACUGGGACUGAGACACGGCCCAGACUCCUACGGGAGGCAGCAGUGGGGAAUUUUGGACAAUGGGCGCAAGCCUGAUCCAGCAAUGCCGCGUGCAGGAAGAAGGCCUUCGGGUUGUAAACUGCUUUUGUACGGAACGAAACGGCUCUGGUUAAUACCCGGGGCUAAUGACGGUACCGUAAGAAUAAGCACCGGCUAACUACGUG
rnacentral:rRNA from 1 species